rnacentral:rRNA from 1 species
GACGAACGCUGGCGGCGUGCCUAAUACAUGCAAGUAGAACGCACAGUUUAUACCGUAGCUUGCUACACCAUAGACUGUGAGUUGCGAACGGGUGAGUAACGCGUAGGUAACCUGCCUGGUAGCGGGGGAUAACUAUUGGAAACGAUAGCUAAUACCGCAUAAUAUUGAUUAUUGCAUGAUAAUUAAUUGGAAGGUGCAAUUGCACCACUACCAGAUGGACCUGCGUUGUAUUAGCUAGUAGGUGAGGUAACGGCUCACCUAGGCGACGAUACAUAGCCGACCUGAGAGGGUGAUCGGCCACACUGGGACUGAGACACGGCCCAGACUCCUACGGGAGGCAGCAGUAGGGAAUCUUCGGCAAUGGACGAAAGUCUGACCGAGCAACGCCGCGUGAGUGAAGAAGGUUUUCGGAUCGGAAAGCUCUGUUGUAAGAGAAGAACGGGUGUGAGAGUGGAAAGUUCACACUGUGACGGUAUCUUACCAGAAAGGGACGGCUAACUACGUG